rnacentral:rRNA from 1 species
AGAGUUUGAUCCUGGCUCAGGACGAACGCUGGCGGCGUGCUUAACACAUGCAAGUCGAACGAUGAAGUGGAGCUUGCUCCACGGAUUAGUGGCGAACGGGUGAGGAACACGUGAGAAACCUGCCUCGGAUUUUGGGAUAACAAAUGGAAACGUUUGCUAAUACCAAAUAACGUCGGAGAGUCACAUGGCUUUCUGACGAAAGGAAUUCCGAUUCGAGAGGGUCUCGCGGCCUAUCAGCUAGUUGGCGGGGUAAUGGCCCACCAAGGCAACGACGGGUAGCUGGUCUGAGAGGAUGGUCAGCCACACUGGGACUGAGACACGGCCCAGACUCCUACGGGAGGCAGCAGUGGGGAAUCUUGCGCAAUGGGCGAAAGCCUGACGCAGCAACGCCGCGUGCGGGAAGAAGGCUUUCGGGCUGUAAACCGCUUUCAGCAGGAACGAAAAUGACGGUACCUGCAGAAGAAGGAGCGGCCAACUAUGUGCCAGCAGCCGCGGUGAUACAUAGGCUUCAAGCGUUGUCCGGAUUUAUUGGGCGUAAAGAGUUUGUAGGCGGUCGAGUAAGUCGGGUGUGAAAAUUCUGGGCUCAACCCAGAAACGCCACCCGAUACUGCUUAACUUGAGUUCGAUAGGGGAGUGGGGAAUUCCUAGUGUAGCGGUGAAAUGCGCAGAUAUUAGGAGGAACACCGGUGGCGAAGGCGCCACUCUGGAUCGAUACUGACGCUGAGGAACGAAAGCAUGGGUAGCAAACAGGAUU